UCCGAUGUGGUCUAGUGGUUAGGAUUUGCGUCUCUCACCCGCAAGGCCCGGGUUCGAUUCCCGGCAUCGGAA
rnacentral:tRNA from 1 species